GACGAACGCUGGCGGCGUGCUUAACACAUGCAAGUCGAACGGAAAGGCCCUGCUUUUGUGGGGUGCUCGAGUGGCGAACGGGUGAGUAACACGUGUGUAACCUGCCCUUGACUUUGGGAUAACUUCAGGAAACUGGGGCUAAUACCGGAUAGGAGCUCCUGCUGCAUGGUGGGGGUUGGAAAGUUUCGGCGGUUGGGGAUGGACUCGCGGCUUAUCAGCUUGUUGGUGGGGUAGUGGCUUACCAAGGCUUUGACGGGUAGCCGGCCUGAGAGGGUGACCGGCCACAUUGGGACUGAGAUACGGCCCAGACUCCUACGGGAGGCAGCAGUGGGGAAUAUUGCACAAUGGGCGGAAGCCUGAUGCGGCAACGCCGCGUGCGGGAUGACGGCCUUCGGGUUGUAAACCGCUUUCGCCUGUGACGAAGCGUGAGUGACGGUAAUGGGUAAAGAAGCACCGGCUAACUACGUG
rnacentral:rRNA from 1 species